rnacentral:misc_RNA from 1 species
AUUUUAUAGUUGCGUUAUCCGCAAGAAGACAUUCAUAUACAACAAGAGUUGGUAUAAAAAUUACACAGAGCAGACAUUGAACUGAGAAAUAUUCCCAGCCUUUGCCUGUCCUAUGAAAAGUGCACAGGGGUUGAAGAGUGGAUGAGCCAAGCGUGCACAUACCUCGGUUAAGAGGCCAGCUACAACCUGUUCAAAACUCGAUAAUGAUCCUUCCGCAGGUUCACCUACGGAAA